rnacentral:rRNA from 1 species
CUCAGAAACUCAAAGGAAUUGACGGGGCCCGCACAAGCGGAGGAGCAUGUGGUUAAUUCGAUGAUACGCGAGGAACCUUACCUGGGCUCGAACGUAAGAUGACUGUAGGUGAAAGCUUACAUCUCUUCGGAGCAUUUUACGAGGUGCUGCAUGGUUGUCGUCAGCUCGUGCCGUGAGGUGUCGGGUUAAGUCCCAUAACGAGCGCAACCCCUACCUUUAGUUGCCAUCAGGUUAAGCUGGGGACUCUAAAGGAACUGCCUACGCAAGUAGUGAGGAAGCGGGGAUGACGUCAAAUCAGCACGGCCCUUACGUCCAGGGCUACACACGUGCUACAAUGGCCGAUACAGAGGGCAGCUACCUGGUGACAGGAUGCAAAUCUCCAAAGUCGGUCUCAGUUCGGAUCGGAGUCUGCAACCCGACUCCGUGAAGUUGGAUUCGCUAGUAAUCGCGCAUCAGCCAUGGCGCGGUGAAUACGUUCCCGGGCCUU